rnacentral:hammerhead_ribozyme from 1 species
AUCCAGCGGACGAGUCCAAAAUAGGACGAACACGCGCGUCCGUGAAU